rnacentral:rRNA from 1 species
UAACAAGGAUUCCCCUAGUAACUGCGAGUGAAGCGGGAAAAGCUCAAAUUUAAAAUCUGGCAGUUUCACUGUCCGAGUUGUAAUCUGGAGAAGCAUUUUCCGCGUCGGACCGUGUACAAGUCUCUUGGAAUAGAGCGUCAUAGAGGGUGAGAAUCCCGUCCAUGACACGGACCACCGAUGCUUUGUGAUAUGCUCUCGAAGAGUCGAGUUGUUUGGGAAUGCAGCUCAAAAUGGGUGGUAGAUUCCAUCUAAAGCUAAAUAUUGGCGAGAGACCGAUAGCGAACAAGUACCGUGAGGGAAAGAUGAAAAGCACUUUGGAAAGAGAGUUAAACAGUACGUGAAAUUGUUGAAAGGGAAACGCUUGAAGUCAGUCGCGUUGUCUGAGACUCAGCCUUGCUUUGCUUGGUGUACUUCUCAGUUAACGGGUCAACAUCAAUUUUGGUUGGUGGAUAAAGGUAGAGGAAAUGUGGCACCUUCGGGUGUGUUAUAGUCCUUUGCUGCAUACACUGACUGGGAUUGAGGAUCGCAGCACGCCACUAUGGCCGGGGGUUCGCCCCACGUAACGUGCUUAGGAUGUUGGCAUAAUGGCUUUAAGCGACCCGUCUUGAAACACGGACCAAGGAGUCUAACAUGCUUGCGAGUGUUAGGGUGGAAAACCCUUGCGCGUAAUGAAAGUGAAAGUUGGGACCCUUCUGGGGGCACCGACGCCCGGCCCUGAAGUUUACUGACGGUGCUGCGGUAGAGCACGUAUGUUGGGACCCGAAAGAUGGUGAACUAUGCCUGAAUAGGGUGAAGCCAGGGGAAACUCUGGUGGAGGCUCGUAGCGAUUCUGACGUGCAAAUCGAUCGUCGAAUUUGGG